ACCGGCUUCGGCCGGGAGUAGAGUGGCGAACGGGCGAGGAAUGCGUUUCUAACGUGCCCCAAGGUCGAGGAUAGCUCGGGGAAACCCGGGGUAAUACUCGAUGACCCCCAUGGAUCGCAUGGUUCGUGGGGCAAAGGCUUGCUGCCUUGGGAUCGGGAAACGCCCUAUCAGGUUGUUGGUGAGGUAACGGCUCACCAAGCCUAAGACGGGUAGCGGGUGUGAGAGCAUGACCCGCCGCAUCGGGACUGAGACACUGCCCGGACUCCUACGGGAGGCUGCAGCAACGGAUAUUGGGCAAUGAGCGAAAGCUUGACCCAGCAAUGCCGCGUGCAGGAGGAAGCCCCUCGGGGUGUAAACUGCUGUCAGGGUUUAGGAAGUUCUGACCAAACCCAAAGGAAGGGCCGGCUAACUUCGUGCCAGCAGCCGCGGUAAUACGAAGGGCCCAAGCGUUAAUCGGAAUCACUGGGCUUAAAGGGUGCGCAGGCGGAAUGGUCAGUGUCUUGUGAAAUCCCACGGCUCAACCGUGGAACUGCAGGGCAUACUGCCAUUCUUGAGGCCGGUAGAGGCCGCCGGAACUCUAGGUGUAGCGGUGAAAUGCGUAGAUAUCUAGAGGAACGCCAAAGACGAAGGUAGGCGGCUGGGCCGGGUUCUGACGCUCAGGCACGAAAGCGUGGGGAGCAAACAGGAUUAGAUACCCUGGUAGUCCACGCCGUAAACGUUGUGCACUAGGUGCUGGAGGUUCUGACACCAUCAGCGCCGAAGCGAAAGUGAUUAGUGCACCGCCUGGGGAGUACGGUCGCAAGGCUAAAACUCAAAGGAAUUGACGGGGGCUCACACAAGCGGUGGAGCAUGUGGCUUAAUUCGAGGCAACGCGAAGAACCUUAUCCUGGGCUUGACAUGCAUGGAUUAACGCUGGGAAACCAGCGCCACACUCUUUGAGUGGAACAUGCACAGGUGCUGCAUGGCUGUCGUCAGCUCGUGCUGUGAAGUGUUGGGUUAAGUCCCUUAACGAGCGAAACCCCUGUCGCUAGUUACCAUCAGGUAAUGCUGGGGACUCUAGCGAGACUGCCGGUGUCAAACCGGAGGAAGGCGGGGAUGACGUCAAGUCCUCAUGGCCUUUAUGCCCAGGGCUGCACACGUGCUACAAUGGCGCCGACAGAGCGAAGCAAAACCGCGAGGUAGAGCAAAUCGCAAAAAAGGUGCCCCAGUUCGGAUUGCAGUCUGCAACUCGACUGCAUGAAGCCGGAAUCGCUAGUAAUCGCGUAUCAGCAACGACGCGGUGAAUACGUUCCUGAGCCUUGUACACACCGCCCGUCAAGUCAUGGAAGCCGGGAGUACCCGAAG
rnacentral:rRNA from 1 species